UGAAGGGAAUUCAUUUUCUUCGACAGCUGGGUUGUUGCUCAGUGUGUGUUGUUUCUUGCUUCAACAACUCACAGCUGGGGUGCUGCUCAGUGCUAUCGUGUCUACGAUACUUCACUCCACCGAGAGUGUUGAGGAUUGUGCAAUCAGUCUUUUAUUUGCAUUUGAGGAUUUUUGGCAACAUUACUUGCAACCGAUUUGCGAGGGUUUCUGGGUUAUUGGCUUAACCUUGAGGUGGAGGUGUGUUGAGAAAGGCAGGAGAGCUGCUGUUUCUGGUGUUUGAGGUGUGGCUUCAAACAUCCAAUUCCAGAGUUAUUGUUCAUGCUUGGAGACAUAGAUUACUUCUACUUUCAAGGUUCCUCAAUUCUCCUCUCUCAAUUUUGUCUAUUGUAAUUGUAAAUCGUUCCUAUUUAAUGUUAAACUGUGAUUGGUUUUGUAUACAGGUUUCACAUCCCCUACCAAUAAUAUCAAACUGAGAAAUUCAUUGCAACAGAGAAGUUAACAAAUUAUUGCUCGUACUCCCAAUGAACUUUAGACUAUCAAGCACUGAAAUCAUUACUCAUAUCAAUACUAUAAGGAUAAAUUCUCUUUGGAAGUUGGAGGUUAUUCCAAUGAAUUCAACAUGCUUUGUUGCUAUGCUUUCCCAGCUGAAGUCAGUGGAGAUAAUGAGCAGAAGGAUACUCUUGGAUGAUUUAGUUUUUGGCUGUAACUUCAUCUGCGUAGUAUAAGUUAAUCAAUGGCUUCAUAUUGCAGUUGAUUGGCUUAUACUACAAAGACAAAGUGCAAUCAAAACUCAAUCAAUUGUAUAUGCCAGACUUCAUCUGUAAAGUGGCUUAUUGUUGGAGUAUGGAUUUCUGUGAUUUGGUAAUGGGGAACUAUUUGAAAAAAAAUCGCAAGUUAUUUGUGGUGACUAAACUUUUUUUGCCUUAU